UAACGCAUAUUGACUGAUCUUUCAGAGACGUUUGUACCCGUUCAAAGGUGACUUAACUCCAUGGUGCGCUGUGACACUCGGCCCUAGCUGCAAAUAGCAAAGCCAGUCUACCCGUCCUUCCCCUUACGAGGUAUUUAUUUAUAUAGAAGACACUGGGCUUGGUGUUUUUGGAGUACAUAACAAAAGAUGAUACCUAUCCUCAAGGACAGUCCUGACUAGCAGGGAAGAUUUUCUAUAAAAUACAUAUAUGUGUGUAUAUAUAUAUACAUGUAUACAUACAUAUAAAAAUUAGAAAAUGAUGUGCAUUCUAAUUUCAACACUUCACUACAAUUAAGAAUUCCAAAAAUAAACAAAUUUGAUGCCUCUGUAGUUAGCCUACCUGGAAUAUUAUAUCAUUCUUUACUUUUAUAAUUAUUUUUAUGUUCACCCUACCAAUAUUUUCUUGUGGAUAAUUUUUAAAUAUCUUUAGUGAUAAGCACCAUAUAAAGGUAUUUAUAAUGUAAUCAAAACAUUUAAAAAAUAUAUCUCUGUGUAUUAUUGAAGCACUCUUGCUAACAAAUUCAUGAAUACAAAGAGUUUAUCUAACUUCUUAUAAAACUUGUACUGUUACCAGCUCCUUUUACUAUUCCCAUCUAUGCAAUUAUUCAUCCUCAUCAAGCUUUCUGCAUCUGCUUUGUUAAUUACUGAUUCGUGCUAUGCCUGCUUAGUGUUUCCAUUGGGUUCAGCAUCUGCAGCUGUCCAGUUGGCUGCUUUUGAGUCAGCAUUGUUUUUACAUAUCCACAAGAACAAUGAACAAUCUCAUCUUUCUGAGAAACUUUCCUUUAUACCUGUUUCUAUAUUAACCAUUAAUAUUGAGACAAGAUGAUCGACUUAAUUAUAUUACUGCUCCAUUUUUAGGGCACUGAUUUCAAGAUCAAGUUAGGAAUUUGUUAAAACUGCUUUUGUUUUUUAUUUUUAUUUAUUUAUUUUUCCUUUUGAGAUGGAGUUUCGCUCUUUUUUUUGCUCAGGCUGGAGUACAGUGGCGCAAUCUUGGCUCACUGCAACCUCUGCCUCCUGGGUUCAAGUGAUUCUCCUGCCUCAGCCUCCCAAGUAGCUGGGAUUACAGGCAUGCGCCACCACACCCGGCUAAUUUUGUAUUUUUAGUAGAGACAGGGUUUUACCAUGUUGGCCAGGCUGGUCUCGAACUCCUGACCUCAGGUGAUCCACCCACCUUGGCCUCACAAAGUGCUAGGAUUAUAGGCGUGAGCCACCACGCCUCGCCAUUAAAACUGAUUUUAAUAAUUUAUGUUUAUCUUUAAGGAUGUCCUUCACCCUUUUUAAAGUUUUAUUAAACUUAAAUUUUUCAAUAAUAACCAAAAAUGCCAUUGCAGUUGUCUUACUGAGAUAUACUCACUUUCCUUUUAUGGUCAUCUUUAUGAAUUCUAGAAGCAUUGUAUUGUGGAACAUUUUGAUUAAUGAAUAUCUGUAAGGAUGAUUUCCAUUUAAUUUUAGAUUUAAAAUAAUAGAAAAAUAGGUGUUUUGAUAGAAAUAUUGUUAUUUUAUUUGUAGCAGGAUUGUUAUGUUAUAGGUAAAGAACGUAUUUAUUUUAUUUCAUUUUUUGUUUUGGGACAGGGUCUCACUCUGUUGCCCAGGUUGGAGUGCAAUGGCAUGAUCAUGGUUCACUGGAGCUUCAACCUCCCAGGCUCAGGUAAUCCUCUUACCUAAGCCUCAGCCUCCCAAGUAGCUGGGACUACAGGCAUGUGCCACCAGGCCAGGCGAAUUUUUUGUAUUUUUUUGUAGAGAUGGGGUUUUGCCAUGUUGCCAGGCUGGUUUUGAACUCCUGGACUCAAGCAAUCUGCCUGCCUCCGCCUCCCAAAAUGCUAGGAUUACAGAUGUGAGCCAGUAUUUUUUUAUUUUGUCAGUAACUUGUUUAACUACUCAUGUUAAUCUCUAUAUUCUUCUUACAUAGUAGAACAGAUGUUGACAAAUGUUUAUUUACUAUUCAUAAGUUGAUGGAGUUUUGGUAUUAAAAAAAGUAAGUUAAACCAUCUGUGUAAUAAAAGAAGAUCAUUUUCUUUUUUGAAAAAAAGAUCAACAUCCUGCUUGUUAAAGACUCAGGAGAAGUUUGAUCAUUUACCUUGAUAGGGGAUAGAGGCUAGUAAAGACCAAGAAAGAGGAAGAGAGAGAUGGUAAAGCAUGGACAAGGCUGCCAGAAAGUGUUGCUACUGGAAGAAAAGUAUAUUAUUUCACUUUGGUUUUUUUUGUGUUUUGUUUUUUCCAGAGACAGGGUCUCACUCUGUUGCCCAGGCUGGAGUGCAGUGGCGCGAUCAUAACUCCUGGGCUCAAGCGAUCCUCCCACCCUGGCCUUCCAAGUAGCUGGGACCACAGGCACUUUUUAUAGAAAUGGGGUCUUGCUUUGUUGCCCAGGCUGGUCUCAAAUUCCUGGCCUCAAGCAAUCCUCCCUCUGUAGCCUCUCAAAGUGCUGGGAUUAAAGGUGUCAGCCACCAUGCCCAGUCUGUAAUACUUCACUUUCUAUAGCAGAAGUUCAGUUUUUUGAGAGCAUAUCAUGCUUGCAACUGAAAAAAAAAAAGUUUAAUUUCUUAAAAAGAGGUUUUUAUCUUAUUAACACAAAAAGAAUUAGAACAUUAUAUUUACUUACUUGUAAGUUUCAGAUGAGAAACUUAAAAAAUGGGGAGGGAAGCUUCUGCAGCCUACCAUUAUAAAAGAACAGAGCAACUCUAGUUGCAAUACCUCAGAUUCUGAUAAGCAUUACCAGACGCCUCAGGGCAAACUGUGAACAUUGUUUCUUGAUUCAUAAAAGAGGAGGAAAAAAAAAGAAAUCUAGGAAAUAGUUGGUAGAAUUGGUUUUUCCUUGGCUUUAAAAAAAAUUUCAGCGAAGUUUGAAUGCUUUCAGGAUGUCUAUAUCAAGAGAAUGGAAUGUUUUGCAGCAUGUCUAUAUUCAGGAGAAUGAAAAGCGUUAAGUAGAAGCCAAAUAAAAGAAUGCUUUGUGAAACGCCUCUGCCUUUUUACCUCAAUGAAAAUAGAACAGCACAAAAACCCUGGGGAACACUGUGAUUUUACAUGUGUGUAAAUGAUGUUUUUAAUGUUUGUUGGAAAUGAUUAAGGGAGGAAGGAUGUUUUUUAAUCAGCCAAAAAGAUACUGCUCUUUAUUAUAUUUUGGAGAAACCAAGAUGUGCAUUAACUUACUCCUUCCACAGAUAUUUAAGUUCCUAUUAUAUACAAGGUAAAAAGAUGAUGAAAAAGAUAUGAAACCUACCUUCAAAG
rnacentral:lncRNA from 1 species